UGAGGAAUAUUGGACAAUGGGCGCAAGCCUGAUCCAGCAAUGCCGCGUGCAGGAUGAAGGCCUUCGGGUUGUAAACUGCUUUUGUACGGAGCGAAAAGGUCUGCCCUAAUACGGUGGGCUCAUGACGGUACCGUAAGAAUAAGCACCGGCUAACUACGUGCCAGCAGCCGCGGUAAUACGUAGGGUGCGAGCGUUAAUCGGAAUUACUGGGCGUAAAGCGUGCGCAGGCGGUUAUGUAAGACAGAUGUGAAAUCCCCGGGCUCAACCUGGGAACUGCGUUUGUGACUGCAUAACUAGAGUACGGCAGAGGGAGGUGGAAUUCCGCGUGUAGCAGUGAAAUGCGUAGAUAUGCGGAGGAACACCGAUGGCGAAGGCAAUCCCCUGGACCUGUACUGACGCUCAUGCACGAAAGCGUGGGGAGCAAACA
rnacentral:rRNA from 1 species